ACGUGGGAGGAGCAUAAUGUCACGCCUUGGGUCAGGCUGACUGAAAUUCCUGGAGUCACAGCCAUGCACUCAGGAGGCUAAGGUCCUGGCAUUGAACUCAGAUCAUCGGCUUUGGCAGCAGAUAUUUUUAGCCUCUGAGCUAUCUUGGCAGCCCUCUAUUUGCUUUGAAAAGCUACUCUGUACUUGGAGAGACACUGUGUGUGGAAGUAUUCACCAGAGAAGACUGCUCAGACAUGGGGUUAAGCCAGUACAAAGUCUUUAUCAGCCCGAGGGCAACUACAUUGGGUGUUCCGGAUCCCAGUGUAGCCAUGAGCCUUUCUCAGUGUGAGCUUUUAAGCACAAAACCAUAUUCUGGGUUAACAUACUUCAGUUAACAAGAACAGUUAGCUACUACAAUCAGAACUACAGGAGACAAAAAGAAAGGUUAGUACAAUUUAGAGAAUUUCUUUUCAUAACUGUGGACUUUGAUAGAUUAGGCCUUUGUUUUAGUGUUGGCAGGCACUGCUGUCCACAUGCAGUUUUACAGCCUGAAUGGUACUUCCACCAUGGAGUCAGUUGUGCUAAGGUCUGGGGCCCUAUAACAACUGUAGUUGGUAAUUCUUGUGUAUGGUAUUGGGGACUGAAUUCAGGGCCUUGCACAUGCUAGGCAAGUCACUGCACAGCCUACACCGCCCCUCAUCUGCUUCAUGCUGGUUUUUUUUUUUUUUUAAAGAUUUAUUUACUUUAUGUAUAUGAGUACACGGUAGCUAUUAUCAGACAUACCAGAAGAGGGCAUCAGGCCCCAUUAUAGAUGGUUUUGAGCCACCAUGUGAACUCAGGACCGCUGGAAGAGCAGUCAGUUCUCUUAACCACUGAGCCAUCUCUUCAGCCCCCCUUCAUGAUGUUUUUAAAAAGACAGUCUAUUACUAACUCUCCAAGCUAGCCUUGAGCAGAGGAUACAGACCUUGAAUUCACAGUCGUCCUUAUUCAGCCUCCCAAGUGACUGGGAUUAGGAACCUGUGCCAUCAAAUCGGAUUGUCAUUCGUCACUUUAAAGUUUCCACACUCCGAUUCUGGGCAUGCUUGCUUCUUCCUUACUAGAGACUGACAAAUCCGCUGGAAAAGAUUUUCUAUCUGGUGUGAAGCAGGAGUCCAUAUGACAGCCACUGGGCUCAGAAGCAUUUACAGGAACGAUCAUUAACCCGUUGCUCUACAACGACAACCCUCUGACCCAACAGGAGAGCACGGGCUCGGCUUUGUCUGUAGGCUCUCCACCGUAUGUGCUGUCCCACUCUACUGUCUGUCUAAAAUUACUCCAAGGCCUCCAUGUAUUUUUAAAAUAGCUUUUAAAGGUGUAUUUAUUUUUAUUUUACGUGAGUGGGUAUCUUGCCUGCGUGUCUGUCUGUGCACCACAUGAGUGCUUGGUGCCUGCAGAGGCUCGGGAUGAGACCGUCGAUCUUCUGGGACUGGAGUCAUGGGCAGUUGUGUGCUGUCAUGUGAAUGCUGGGAAUGGAACCUUGAUCCUUUGAAAGAGCAGCCAGUGCUCUUAACCAGUGAGCUAACUCUCCAGCCCAUGCCGCUGUGUCCGAGUUGUCUCAUUCUAUAGCAGAGCUUGGUGCUUGCUAACCUUCCAGAGUUUUUACUUUUUCACUGUUGGCAGCAAGGUGUGGUAGUACACACCUGUAACUCCUGGUCCCUAAGAAGCCAAGGCAAAAAGGGGGCCUUCUAGGCUAGCUUGGGAUACAAAGUGAGACCUAACCCGAUAAGAGAGAAAGAAGAGAAAAUGCAAAAUGAAACAAAACCAAAACAACGUGCAUUGGAUAUUUUUCGUCUGUUAAAUCUUGUGGUGCUGAGAAUUGAGCCCUAGAGAGGUCUCAUAUGUUAGGUGACAACUCUGCCACUGAGCUACAGCCCGGUGCCUGUUGGACUUUUAUCAAAGCUUUUAGCUGCAUUUACUGCAGUGGCUGUAGGCUUUCUUCUCCUGUUCAUGGUGAAUUACAUUCACGUUAAAACCCUCUUUUGCUAUAAAGUGCUCUGCUGAUUGUGUCACGGUGAUUUAUUUCCUGGUGUGGCAGACUUCCUUCUUAUUUUCUCCCUCUUUCCUUCCCUCCAUCCUUUCUUUUUGUCUCUCUUCAGUAGUGUGUGUGUGUCUGUCUGUCUGUCUGUCUGUCUGUCCUGAA